GCUGCACGUUGAUGUUGAAAAGGACUGGAGAGAGAACUGAUCCUUGUGAAACUCCACAAAUGGUGGUAGAGGUACAGUUUCCCAUUACUACUUAUUGGAUGCAUCCCUCCAGGAAGGACUCAAAACCAGUUUAUUGCAUUACCCAGUAAGAAGGAGUUGUGCACUGCAGCAAGACUUCUGUGAAGAAUUUGAGAAUUGGAGUUUACUGAUUGCCUGUCCAAACCUUGCCUAGCAGGGACAGAAGAUAGUUCAAAAUAUGCUGACUAGAAGUGAGGGAUGAGGAAACCCCAUUCCACAUGGACCAGAUGGAAAACCUCUUCCAUUUAGCCAGCAGGCACAACCCUUCAAACAUGGAUUGGAUUAUGCUUAUGCUGGAGAAGACCUGUGACCUGGAUUGACUUCUUAUCAGCCUGUUGUCUAGAUAAGGGAAGACGUGGAUCCCUGACCUCCAAAGGAAAAUUGCAGCCACCACCAUACAUUUUGCAAAUACAAAAAGGGCAGCUGAGAGACCAAAGGAGAGCGUUGUGACAUGAUAAUGGAAACCACUGACUAUGAACCUUAGAAAUUUUCUGUGGCUUUGAUGAAUUUUCACAUGAAAGUAAGUGUCCUUUAAGUCAAGAGCAGCAUACCAGUCUGCUGGAUCCAGGGAAGGAAUUAUGGAAGCCAUUCAGAACUUUGAUUUCUUCAGGAACUUGUCUAACUCUCUUAAAUCUAAAAUAGGCCCAAGACCUCCUUCUGUUUUCAAGAUCAGAAAGUUUUAGGAGUAAAACUCUACAAUGGAGGGACCUCUUCUAUAACUCCUACAACAAGAAAUAAUUGUGUCUUGUGCAACAACAUGGUCUUGUGAGAGAGGUCCCUGAAAGAGGAUGGGGUAGGGAGAUGGGAAGAGGGGUAGAAAUAAAUUGCAGUAUGUAUCCCACUUUCACCGUGCUUAGAACUCACCUAUGUGUUCUGAUGUGGGCCCAAGAAUGAUAGAAGUGGGAUAGAUGGUUUGCAAAAAUUGGGAAAGAAAAAGAUGCUACUCUUAGAACUGGUAGUCUGCUCUUGACUAGCCCAUCAAAAUGAGCUCUUGGAGGAUGCUGCCUGCCUUGACGAGCCGGCAGCUACAGUGACAGAGGAUGGUGGUGGUUGUCCUCUGUAAUCUCUGCUCAUCCUCCCUGGCAGGUCCAGCGCUUGAGGGUCAAACCCCAGAAAUCACUGAGACUGGUGAGGACUGAAGGCUUUCCACUUCACUGCUGGGGUGUAAAUGCCCAGGGACUGUAGGGUUGCUCUAGAGUCACUGCAACUAUGCCAAGUCUCAUCAGUUUUUGCUGAGAAGAGCGAUAGCCCUUCAAACGAGAGGUCCUGGACUAUUUGCUGAACCUCUGGAGGGAGGUCAGAAGACUGAAACCAUGAAGAGCACCUCUUAGUGAUGGUAGAGGACAUGCAGUAGGCCACAGAGUCUGCUGUUUCCAGACCAGCCUGCAGAGCUGUUCUGGCAUCCAGCCUGCCCUCUUUGAUCAUUGUCUGAAACUCCUGUUUUACAUCAUCUGUGAGCUUGUCCUUGAACUGUAUCCCACAGGGUAAAAUCGUAUCA